rnacentral:pre_miRNA from 1 species
AGGCUCUCAAAGUCGCUGUGAAAUGUGUUAAUUAACAGUUUCAUAUCACAGCCAGCUUUGAAGAGCUUAA